rnacentral:rRNA from 1 species
UGGGGAAUAUUGCACAAUGGGCGCAAGCCUGAUGCAUCCAUGCCGCGUGUGUGAAGAAGGCCUUCGGGUUGUAAAGCACUUUCAGCGGGGAGGAAGGCGUUAAGGUUAAUAACCUUGGCGAUUGACGUUACCCGCAGAAGAAGCACCGGCUAACUCCGUGCCAGCAGCCGCGGUAAUACGGAGGGUGCAAGCGUUAAUCGGAAUUACUGGGCGUAAAGCGCACGCAGGCGGUCUGUCAAGUCGGAUGUGAAAUCCCCGGGCUCAACCUGGGAACUGCAUUCGAAACUGGCAGGCUAGAGUCUUGUAGAGGGGGGUAGAAUUCCAGGUGUAGCGGUGAAAUGCGUAGAGAUCUGGAGGAAUACCGGUGGCGAAGGCGGCCCCCUGGACAAAGACUGACGCUCAGGUGCGAAAGCGUGGGGAGCAAACAGG